rnacentral:rRNA from 1 species
GCGCCAGGGAAUUACGAGCUCAAACUUAAAACCCAAAGGACUUGACGGUGCCCCACUCCAACUAGAGGAGCCUGUUCUAUAAUCGACAACACUCGCUAAACCCGACUGCUUUUAGACCCUCAGCUUGUAUACUUCCGUCGAAAGCUCACCAUGUUGAAAGACACACAGUGUGCUCAAAGGUCUUACACCAACACGUCAGGUCAAGGUGCAGCCAAUAAAGCAGACAGCAAUGGGCUACAAUUUCUACGAUAGAACACACGAAAAGCCGCAUGAAACACGGCUAAGAAGGCGGAUUUAGUAGUAAAAAGAAAAUAAAGUGUUCUUUUUAAUCAGGUGCUGGGACGCGU